GGCCUUGCUUGGAAUCUUACGGUAGUCGAGUGCUAUGUGUGAAUCUUUCUUAGAGGAGAUGGUUUACUGAAAGGAUUGUUCCACAUUUUUUUUCUCUGCAGCCAAGUAAGAUUUAAAGCUUACGUUGUGCUCAUUGCAGGCAGUAGGGAUGGAGGCUUGAGCAUACCGAUCCCAAGGACAAAUCUUCACCCAUUGUCAUCAAAGGAGUCGUAUACAAAGAAAUUAAAGGAGUCUGUGCAGCGGCUUCGUCCCGAGUUUCAUUUCCCGCGUUCUUCGCUGCUUCAAGGUCCAAGCAUGCAGGGUUGUGGAUUCUCCGGCUCCUGUCAAAGGAUUGCACGGUUUCCAAGGCAGGGUGAGCUGAGAGAAGAGUAGGCCCUAGCCGUGUGCCGCUCACCUGCGUAGGCACCAUCACAAUGGAGUGUUGUUUGCUCGGCGCACUUCGGCCAUGGUGAUCUUGCGAGCGGUACCAAAGGCCAGGGUCACUUGAUGGUGAAUGCAGUGCCAUCGCUUGCGGGCCCCACUAAGACGCUUGCAAAGGUUGAUGCUACAGCUAUGAGACAACCUUCAAGUGAAGCAGCUUGAUCCACGGGAACAUCACAGAAUCAAGAUGAGCCAGCAGGUCUCUCUGAAGCGACAAUAGACAUGGACAUCUCCGAGGGCUUGUCAGAUGUGCUAGCAGAGGGUGCUGCUACAACUGCCAGCUCGUCCUUCGCUGAUUCAGACAUUGCUGAUGAGCCUUCCGAAAUCCAACAUGUCCUGUCUCCCAGUCGAAGGCCUACCAGCACGCUUGAGGGUGACGCUUCGGCAGCACUGCCUAUGCAUAGCCCAGCAACACCUCGAACAGCAAGGCAUACUACG
rnacentral:lncRNA from 1 species